rnacentral:miRNA from 1 species
UAAAAUAACCGAUCUUAAAAGUGCAACUUUUAAAACCGGUUAUUUUAUAACCGAUCUUAAAAGUGGCACUUUUAAGAUCGGUUCUUUUA